GCUAAAUAGAUAAGGAUUAAUUAAAUUAUCUUCACAAAAAAAAAACCCUCCUCCAUUCUCCUCUCUUUCUCUCGGCUAGAACCACCACAAGAAAUCCCUCACCCUAAAUCAGAAAUUUUCAAAACCAUUUCACAUCAAACUAACUAAGGAAUUUUGCUAGAGUUAGUGUUGAAGUGGAAGGAAGGAUCAAAGUAAGGGAAAGGACAAAAUAGGACAUCCAUGAGUUAGCAGCCUUCUCCGAUAAAUAUACACAUCGGCUCAUUCGGCUAGCAGUGUCGAGUUGUCAAGUGUUGUUUUAUGGCGCUUUUGAUCUUUAAAUGUAUUUUGGUAAAAAAAUGUUAUGACAACUCUUUUGUGAAAUUCUAAAGGGGAUUCUCGAACCCAAAACUUUCAAAUAUUAUGAAUUUAUAUUUUAAAAGUAA